AUCAACUUUCGAUGGUAGGAUAGAGGCCUACCAUGGUGNNANGGGUAACGGGGUGUUAGGGCACGACACCGGAGAGGGAGCCUGAGAAACGGCUACCACAUCCAAGGAUGGCAGCAGGCGCGCAAAUUACCCAAUCCCGACACGGGGAGGUAGUGACAAUAAAUAACAAUACGGGGUUCUUUUGGAUCUCGUAAUUGGAAUGAGUACAAUUUAAAUCUCUUAACGAGGAACAAUUGGAGGGCAAGUCUGGUGCCAGCAGCCGCGGUAAUUCCAGCUCCAAUAGCGUAUAUUAAAGUUGUUGCAGUUAAAAAGCUCGUAGUUGAAUUUCGAGACCGGUCUACUGGUCGUGCUUUUGUACGUACUGGUUUUAUUGGUUUCUCCUUUCUGACGAACUAUAAUGCCAUUAAUUUGGUGUUAUGGGGAAUCAGGACUGUUACUUUGAAAAAAUUAGAGUGUUUAAAGCAGGCUCACGCUUGAAUACAUUAGCAUGGAAUAACGGAAUAGGACGUUUGAUUCUAUUUUGUUGGUUUCUAGGAUCGACGUAAUGAUUAAUAGGGAUAGUUGGGGGCAUUAGUAUUCAAUUGUCAGAGGUGAAAUUCUUGGAUUUAUUGAAGACUAACUACUGCGAAAGCAUUUGCCAAGGAUGUUUUCAUUAAUCAAGAACGAAAGUUAGGGGAUCGAAGACGAUCAGAUACCGUCGUAGUCUUAACCAUAAACUAUGCCGACUAGGGGAUCGGAUGAUGUUAAUUUUUUAAUGACUCAUUCGGCGCCUUACGGAAACCAAAGUGUUUGGGUUC
rnacentral:rRNA from 1 species